rnacentral:lncRNA from 1 species
AACAGAGAUCGUAAUUGUCACGAUUGCUCCUCUAGAACCAACAGAGAUCGUUAUUGUCAUGAUUGCUCCGCUAGAACCUGAAGGAAGAGUAAACACUAUUAGAGAAAUCAGCUAGAUGCAAAGAAAGACAGAAACCAUCAGCAAUUCAGAAUUUGUACUUCUAAUUUUUUUAUGACUUUCUUUUUACCUGUAGCACAAAGUGUAUACAGAGUGAUUAUGUUUCAUUUUCAGUAGCAUCUCAUGAGUCCAUCAAACUUCCUUUGUAAAACUAUUUUUACGGUGGAAUGUGAAUUUUGCAAUCUUAUCCAAAAACAUCAAGAUUCAUCUGAUAACCAAAGAUUGAUAAGUGCUGGUCGUAUAUUCUUAUGUGUCAUAUCAGUACACUGAACCAAAACGUCACUAGACAGAAUAAAUGGUUUCCCAAUAACUAAUGCCAAGAGUUAGUUGUGUGAAGAAGCAGUGUGUAGUCUACCAUAUGGAAUUAUGGUCCAGACCUGGUCCCAUGUACUCUUGAUAAUGACAAAAGCACAAAGUUUGUGAAACAAAAUUACAUCUAUCUACAUGAAUCAACCCACUUAAUAAUUAAUCUAUAUGCCUCAAAACCGAUCCACACGCAUAAGUCAUCAAAAUAGCAAUUACCAUGAACAAGACAAAAAAGAUAAAAAGAUAUUAGUAAGAACUAUGAACAAAUAGAUAUUUACUUGACAGAAAGAAAUUAUUAAGUAGGGAGAAUGAUCAAAUAAAUAUUUACUUUACAGAUAUUUAGUAGGAAGAAUGACCAAAAAGAUAUUUUAUAGAUAUUUAGCAGGAACUAAGAACAAAUAUAUAUUUAAUCAAAAGUUCACCAAAAGAUGAACACUGAGAAAUGGCGCCAAAGAGUAAAUGAUUAAAGAAUAGGUUCCACCAAAGAAAGUCAAUAAUGGUACAUAAAUGAUUAAAAGACAGGACUAAAGCUCUGUGUUUCAGUAUUUCAACUUUCUAGCCAAAGAGAACUAUAAUUAAAAUGUUUCUGAAACUUUUCUUAUGGCUCUUAACACCCACUGGAUCCAAAACCAUUUCCAAAUCAUAAAUGCAUCCAGCAAAAAUGUUCUCAGAAAUAUUUCAAAUUCUCACCAAGUUGCGUUAUUUCACCUUAAGUCGUGUCGUGUGAUUUCACCUCGAUAUGUUGGUAACAUUUCACUUCCAUCAUUCAAAAAAAAAAACGGUGAAUGACCAAUUUUAGUUUGGAUGAUCUUUCUGUCUGUUCAGAUUUCUCAUCUUCAUCCAUGUUACCCCUGCAGUUUUAAAGUGAAUGAGUAUCAAAUUAAGAUAUUCCCAACAAACGAAUCAUUAUAGCAUAUAACACAACAAAAGUAAAGUUUAUUUGCUUUAAAGAAGGUACCAAGAAAACAGACCACUAUAUAUAUUUGUACCAGUUAUAUGUAACCUAAUGGCACAGACAAAAGAAAAAAGGAAUCCAUUUCCGAGUGAGACUGGUGAGAAAAGAUAGAAAAGAUGCAUCUCCUACUGUGUAACAUCAACUUUUUAUCCCAAAGAUACACAAUCUUCCCUAAUCUAAUGUUUCACUAAACCAGCUAUUAGGAAAGUAGCAAGAAACAAUGUUAUACAAAAGCACAUAUCAAAGAAUCUUGCUUUGAUUUUGGAGCUACAAGAAAAACAUUAGAUACUAGAUUCAUGUAGAUUUCCCUCGCAAUUUGCAACCAAUGGAAGAAGAUAUCUCAUAAAGCAAACAAAAAGAAUCAUUUUUUAUUCGUUCAUCCGUGGGACCAAUUCCUUUACCUCUGAUUUAAAACAAAGGCAUGUAAAGAUAAAGAGAGAGAGAGAAACUGUUUACUGAAAAAAAAGCAGGAGGUGGAUACUAAUGCUAUGAGAGUGAUAAAAGUAGCCUUUAACAAGAUUGAUUGGGAGAGGCUUUGUCCUUUUGGCUACUCUAUGGACAACUUGAGUUACUACGAAUGGGGUGGAUUCCUGUUCCCCAAACAUAAGUAGAGUUCACUAAAUGGAAAUAUUUCAUCCGUACACUCUCAAAACCGCACAAAAUCAACAAAACUUUUAAGAUUCCACCACUGUUAAAAAAUAGCAAAAAGGGAAAGAAAAGAAAAGUUAAAUCAAACCUUGCUUUAUAUAUGAGAAACUCCUUUACAGGUUAGACACAUAUGUGAUAUAUCACUGGGUCAGAACUAUCUACCGAAACUCGGUUUUCAUCAAGACCAUAAGUAGAAAACAUAUAUUAUAAGCCCUAACAGGCUAAUAUCAAGGAACAGUGAGAUAUCAGUAAAAUGAGCCAGGAGAUAUUAAUAUUUGAAUGCUGCUAUAUCAAAGAUAGGGAAAGUUCAUGGCUGCUCCAGUUAAAAAGCUCAUGGGUCCCUAGAAGCAAUUCUGGGAGAUAUGAUUUGCUAAGGCCACAGCCACAUGGCACUACUAUUGCAGCAACUGGUAUGAUGGACCCAUUUUAUAUAACAAAGCAUAUUACGCUGCAAAUGAUUUUAUAAAAUUAGACACUAAAGGUAAAGGUCCAUAAUGUGAGCUUGAUCUUUAUAGCUUCUUAUUCAUCCAACCAUAAGUUUUUCUAAAUGAAAUAUAUAAAAAAAAAUUCCUCAUUAAAUAUCUGAAAAAAAAUUGAAACUUUACCUUUCCUCUAUAUAAACAAUUAGCCUCCAAACCUUUACUCUAUAUAAACAACCUCCAACGGAAACACAGAAAGCCACCAAUCUAUCUUAAAACUAAGUUAUCAUGUGCACUACCAUUUCCAUUUCCAUUUCCACCAUAAAACCAACUGAGAUCUUUCAAGAAAUUCUUGGAAGUUCUUACUCAAGAAAAUUACUAUUUCAUACCCAUGAUCAAUCACCAACUCCAGCACCAUCCCCAUAUGUAGGCGAUAACAACUUUGAUGCAAAUGUUGUUAUGGUCCUAUCAGUCCUCUUAUGUGCACUUGUUUGCUCACUUGGACUCAAUUCUAUAAUAAGAUGUGCCUUGAGGUGCUCCAAUUUAGUACCAUCUGAAGCUGGUGGUGACAACUAUCCUGUUCGCUUGACCAACACAGGAGUCAAACGAAAAGCCUUGAAGAGUUUCCAGACAGUAAGUUACUCUACUGAACUAAAUCUGCCUGGCUUAGAUACCGAGUGUGCUAUCUGUCUCUCGGAAUUUGUAGCCGAGGAACGUGUGAAGCUGUUGCCGACAUGCCACCAUGGAUUCCAUGUCCGUUGUAUAGACAAGUGGCUUAGUUCACACUCGUCCUGUCCCACCUGCAGGCACUGCCUCAUCCAGACAUGCGAGAAGAUUGCCGACUGCAGCCAAACAAGCUCGUUAAACUCUACUCAACCACCACAAGACAGCAUCAUUCUCCAAAUAGCACCACUAGAACCGGAAAGAUGGAUACGCUGGUUUAGGUGAACUAGAACUAGUCACCUAGAUAUUUGUAGCAGCUAUGAUUAAACUACUAUGUUUUAGAAUUAUUUGAGAUUACAAGCGGUCUACACUUAAAAACAAGUUUAGCAUUUCAACUGUAAAGUUGUAAAUAUUACGAGAAUGUUACUUUCUUCAUAUCUUGAACUACUAAAUGUUUAUAUUUCACAGUUACAAGCCAAUAAAGGAAAAUUUCAUUAGAUCUGCAAAUACUCACACUGGAAAACAAAACAUAAACAAUUCAAAAAUCAAAUGUACAGGAUGAUGAGAAGGAAAAUCACUGAAAGGCUUAAAGCAAUAGUUUAGUGGAGGUGGCCAAUACACUUAGUCAACUAAAGAGAGAUGUCAUAAUCUUUACCAUUAUGAAGUUUCAAGGUUAUUAAAGUCAGGCUCUGCCACUAGCUUAUUUUACUGAUUAUCAUAAGGGUUACUACACUUUUAUAUAAAUCAUACAAUAACAUAAUGUACCCUUCCAGAGGUAGAAGAGUCUUCUUGCUUUGUUAUUGAACAAAUUAAGUUGUAGGCUGUGACAAUGCGAAGCCCCGGAGAAAAAUGUCAAGGCCCACAAAUGAGAGAAACAUGCAAUAAUAUAAUCCAUCGAAAGGAGAACAAGAGAGAGAGGUCACCACCAUAAGAAACAGCACAAAGCGAAUGGGGUCCGAGGACGAAUCCCACCAUAUGGUCAAAUCAAAUAAUACUAAAAGGGGAGGUUCAAUGUUAUACUGACCACAUGAAGAAAAUGAGUGACCACAAUAAUUCAACAACCGGCAUUUACCAAGAUCAAUUUCAUAGAUAAUGGAUUAUGAAGAGCUGCAAUAUCAAUUACUUAGAAGUAGAACUUUAAAAAAAGCAGUACGUGUAACAGUACUUUACUGACUAGCUAAAGAGAGAUCCUUAGUAGUAAUCUAGAAACUCCCAUCAAUAUGGUCACUAAUCUCCAAAUAAAGAAAUUGAUAAACAAGUUAUGAGGUGGACGAACGAAAUUGUAAACCCUAGAUACCAAAAUGGGGAAACUUUGCAUCAACCAAAUGAGAUUAUCUUCUGAACUAAUUACGUAUCGGGAUUAAACAAUGAACAAGAAGAAGUAAACAAGAGUACAUGAAAUUGAAAAAAUCAAGUUUCGCUCCAAUCAAAUUGACAAUAAGGAGACAAAGAUACGAAGUUCAAAUGAAGCUGUACGAAAAUACCCAGAAAACUAUGUGAAAAAUGGGGAAUUUUCUUACCGUAUUCGUUGAUGAAGAUCUGCUGAAGACGACGAAGUAGCA